rnacentral:sRNA from 1 species
UAUUCUGCCCCAGGGGGAAGGAUGAGAAGCUUCGACUAAGGUUCGACUCGAGCGCCAGCGAGAGAACGGUGCCACAGGCAACGGCCCGAAGGGCGAGGCGCUUUAGCGCCGAGUAAUCCUUCCCCCACCCCCA